rnacentral:tRNA from 1 species
GGGCGGUUAGCUCAGAGGGAGAGCAUCGGCCUUACAAGCCGGGGGUCAUAGGUUCAAGUCCUAUACCGCCCA